ensembl:lncRNA
ACAUUGACUAGCAUUGCAUCUGGAACCCCUAAACAGAAACAGGAUCCUAUUGUGAUCAAUGCUGUAUGGAGAUAAAUACAGCCCUUGCCUCCAAGAGCUUGUAUUCUAUGGCUCUGGUUUUGUAAACUGAUCUUUGUAGAGAUAUUCUUAGCCCCCGUGGAGUCCUUCAGCCUUCCAACAUGGUCCAAGAUUCCUAUAGAGCCUUUGUAUAUGUGGAAAAAUGGGGGAACCUUGACCUUUCCAAUCUUCUCCUCUCCCUCCCUCUUACAUUUGAAUUAUGCCUAAGGGGAAUUUUCAGCAAGUCUACUGUCUUAUCAAACUGGAUUUUAAUCUUAGUCACCCCUCGUAGUGUGUGGCAGCAUAAACAUCCAUCCACAGCAGAACAAGAAUCAAGCUCAAGGCUGUUAUAUACUUUUCUUCAUAUCAAAAGUUCUGCUCUAGACAGGAAAUCAGAGGAGGCUCUGUGCAGUUUAACUCCUUUCCUUCUCCUCCCUAGUAUUUUCUAAGAGCCCAUAAGUGCAAGCAGACUCCACAUUCACUCAGAGAUCUGUGGCACCACUCAGGAAGUUCACCAGGAUGCUACAACUUCUGGGACAGGCACCACUUUUGGAAAUGCAAAAGAGCACAUAGAAGUAGGCUGGAGAGAGAACCUUUUGCACCGAAAGCAGAAGGGUGAUUGCAUCCCUGCAGUGAACAGGAGCCACUCCAUGUCACCAAUGUGAGGGGAGCUGUGACUGCAACAGGGACGGCAGUGAAGACAUCAGGAACAUCCACAGGGGUAAGGCAGGUCCACAGUCCACAACAACACAGCUGCAAGGCAUCUGGAGCCAGGAACACCUGCAGCCUUGCUUGGAUGGGCACUGAGGGCAGAGUGCAUGGAUGGAGCUGUCAGGGCAAUUAAACCUUAUCAGCACAUGCUGGGUCCUGACAGAGAGUCUUCCUCUCUCUUUCCAGUAUGGCUGCUCUGACAAGUAGCUGAGUUCAGUCAUGAGCCAAGAGCAUUUUGUGCAGAAGCCAAAAUUAAAACCAGACUCUAGCAGAUCCCAAGAUUUUUGCAUGUUUCAAAAAUGUGGUGUUAGCAUCACUUAGCUAUUGCCAGACUGAAGAAGCGGCAAUUCUUCACUCAUUUGCUCAUCUACCAGCUAAAUCUAAGAGGAAUUACACAGAGCAAGCAAGCCUUGAAGCUUCCUCCCUCCAGCCACAAGUGGUGGUCUUGUAGCAGCUUCUCAGGGCAGCUGUCCUUUUGAUAGGCUCUAGCUUCAACUGGUUAAACCCAGUUCUCACAUUAUGUAAAUAAGCCAUCAGGGAAGAAUAGUCAGACUUCAGGGUUUAGAUGAAACAUUUCAACAAGGCAAAACCUAAAUGGAUGAAAACCAUCACGAGCCAAGCCUUGCUAACCACCCUCACCCCUCAGCAACAUACUGAGCCUUGUCUGAAAUAGGAUAAAGCUGGAUUUGGGUUUUCAAGCCUGGUGCUACUUCCCUGUGCCACUUUCCCAUAUAAAUGAUUUAUCCCGCAGUGUCUUUCUGAGAGGCAUCACUUCAUCACUCCUCAGGAAAACAGGCACAGGCUCAGUUUGCACCGCAGUUGCCAUCAGGCACCUAAACACCAUGUGGGCAAGGCAGAGGGAGUAGCAACAGGCUUGCCCAGAUAACCCAGAAAACAUUAAGCAACGGUGCUUAGCAUAUCAUACUCACAGGUACAAACUUAACCAGAACCGUAACCACAAAUACAUACGAGACCAGAGCAAGCAAAGCUCCUAUUUAGAUCCUUGGAGAGUACUUCCCUCGCAGCAAAGCUGUCGGCAUCCCGGUGGCUGUGAGGCACAGGGGUACCGAUGUGGGGCUUCCUGAGCCCCAUCCCUCCUUUGGGGCCCAACAACACCUGUUUUCAGAGGUUUGGGGAGGCCGGAGACAGAGCUUCGGUGCAGCAGAGGGGCUGGCUCACCUUCGGGCGGGUUUCAUCUGAAAUGCUGCGUGUAUUGUGCACUGAGGUUUUCUCGGGACAGGCUGAGCCCGCGGCCGUUGGCGUCGGGCUCCACUGCUGAGACACCGGGGAACUCGGCAGAAACGGGGCGGCCCCUUUAACAAGGGCGGCGGGGGGGAGCGGGGCCGCCCCGGGAACCCGGCUCAGGUGAGGGCACCGCUGUCUGGGGCGGGAGGGGAAAAUCCGCCGUGGUGCGGGAGAGAGGGAUGUGGGAGCCGAGCAGUGUGUCUUUGAAGAGACGGGGGGAUGGCGGAGAACGCUGUGUGCAGCGUGAUUACGGUCUGGUUUUUGGGUGGUCCUGUGCGAAGCAUGAAGUUGGACUGGAUGGUCCUUGUGGGCGCCUUCCAAAGCAGAAUGUUCUGCGAUUCUGCAAAGUUUGGGAUUCCUUCAAAGUUCGUUUCCAGUCCCUUACCCUUCCCAGCCUCUAUCCGGGCACUGGGGCUGGCGCUGCUGUUCACUGUACCACAGUUCUUUGAGAACAGAGAAGGAAAAGCACGAAGUACCCGUAGGUAAUUGUUACUGACAAGGUGGAUUUCUCCCCCUCGCCCAUUUCUUUAGUUCAUGUUCUCCUUCGCUGCUGCACAGUGCAGCUCGGUAUGGCAGCUCGGUUCCCGACCAUCGUCACGAGUGUACGCAAUAAGGAGAGGGCUGAAGGUACUGACCUUUGACACCAAUGGAAAAGAAAAUGAGUGUAAGUCACCUCGUGGCGUCUGUGCCAAAAGCGAGGAAAGUGACGGCACUGCGCCGUCCAGGAGAGUGCCUCCUAAAAGUAUCGCUUAGAAACACCCACGGCUAUAAACCCUACAACUGUUUAUAAGUUACCGAAAAUAACUGCCGGUCGCACUGGUGCUCGUUUGCCCUAAUUCUACAGUAUUCCUUCUAUUAUUUUUUGAGAAACGCAUUGGAAAUGGCUUAUCUCCAAGGGCAGCUUAUUCGAGUGCCUGUUCCCCAUAUCCCGAGUUUUGUUACAGAAUCCACUUUCUCGUCGUCCUCCUUCCCCGAGUACCCCAACACCAUUAGGGGAUAAAGUACCUGGAGCGCGGCUCGAAGCACGGAGGUUAAGAUCUACAUCAGUUAAAACCUGUUAAUCGGCUCUGAAUGGUCUCAGAGUGCGCUCGCCGUGUGUGUGUGUGUGUGUGUGUGUGUGCCCUGGACGAGGGCACGGAUGGAAAUUCCCAGCCCAGCUCAGCAGGUCCUCGAGGCGCGCAGCCGGACUUUGCAGACUUCGGGAUGCUCCCAGCCGUAAGGAGCGGCAUCCCCGCAGCUGAGCGUAGGGAGAAGAAACAGCUCCUGUAAGGACAGUGAAGUUGAACGCACUCUGUCUCACCGUGCGGGUCCGUACGAGGUCGGAUCCCGCUUUCUCGCCCACACGAAGCGCAGGGGGAGGUUUGUCGUCUCAAAAUCCGCCUGCACCUCACACCAGGCCGGUAAUUUUUAAGCAGCCGUGCGGUCGCCCUGUCUGGUUUAAUUGGUAGAAUUUACCUUUUUAAGGCGCCAGCGCCUAGGCAAUGCCUCGGCAUGGUAACCAUCUCCCCGCAUAAGGAUUGGUGACCAGUUUAUUCCUUAGAGGGAUUAACAAGGGUGUCCAAAGUCAGAAACAAAUAAAUGCAUCAAACCGCGCCAAGAUGCGUGCAGAGAAACAACAACAACAACAACAACAAAAACCCCACUCGAUCAGACUUGUCUUCUAGGGAAAUGACCCAGGGGAGCUUCCUUUCUUUUUCUUUUUUCUUUUUCUUUUUUCUUUUUCUUUUUCUUUUUCUUCC